rnacentral:rRNA from 1 species
CUACGGGACGCUGCAGUGGGGAAUUUUGCGCAAUGGGCGAAAGCCUGACGCAGCAAUACCGCGUGAGUGAAGAAGGCCUUUGGGUCGUAAAGCUCUUCUCUGGGGGAAGAUAGUGACGGUACCCCAGGAAUAAGCACCGGCUAACUCCGUGCCAGCAGCCGCGGUGAAUACGGAGGGUGCAAGCGUUGUUCGGAUUUACUGGCGUAAAGGGCACGUAGGCGGCACAGCAAGUUAAGGGUGAAAUCCCGGGGCUCAACUCCGGAACUGCUCUUAAAACUGCUGAGCUAGAGAUGGUCAGAGGCGGGUAGAAUUCCUGGUGUAGAGGUGAAAUUCGUAGAUAUCAGGAGGAAUACCGGUGGCGAAGGCGGCCCGCUGGGGCCAUUCUGACGCUAAGGUGCGAAAGCGUGGGGAGCGAACGGGAUUAGAUACCCCGGUAGUC